rnacentral:rRNA from 1 species
GACGAACGCUGGCGGCGUGCCUAAUACAUGCAAGUAGAACGCUGAAGACUUUAGCUUGCUAAAGUUGGAAGAGUUGCGAACGGGUGAGUAACGCGUAGGUAACCUGCCUACUAGCGGGGGAUAACUAUUGGAAACGAUAGCUAAUACCGCAUAACAGCAUUUAACCCAUGUUAGAUGCUUGAAAGGAGCAAUUGCUUCACUAGUAGAUGGACCUGCGUUGUAUUAGCUAGUUGGUGAGGUAACGGCUCACCAAGGCGACGAUACAUAGCCGACCUGAGAGGGUGAUCGGCCACACUGGGACUGAGACACGGCCCAGACUCCUACGGGAGGCAGCAGUAGGGAAUCUUCGGCAAUGGGGGCAACCCUGACCGAGCAACGCCGCGUGAGUGAAGAAGGUUUUCGGAUCGUAAAGCUCUGUUGUAAGAGAAGAACGUGUGUGAGAGUGGAAAGUUCACACAGUGACGGUAACUUACCAGAAAG